UACGUAGGGUGCAAGCGUUAAUCGGAAUUACUGGGCGUAAAGCGUGCGCAGGCGGCUUUGCAAGACAGAUGUGAAAUCCCCCGGGCUUAACCUGGGAACUGCAUUUGUGACUGCAUGGCUGGAGUGCGGCAGAGGGGGGAUGGAAUUCCGCGUGUAGCAGUGAAAUGCGUAGAUAUGCGGAGGAACACCGAUGGCGAAGGCAAUCCCCUGG
rnacentral:rRNA from 1 species